rnacentral:rRNA from 1 species
AUUGAACGCUGGCGGCAGGCUUAACACAUGCAAGUCGAGCGGAGAGAGGUAGCUUGCUACUGAUCUUAGCGGCGGACGUGUGAGUAAUGCUUAGGAAUCUGCCUAUUAGUGGGGGACAACAUUUCGAACGGAAUGCUAAUACCGCAUACGUCCUACGGGAGAAAGCAGGGGAUCUUCGGACCUUGCGCUAAUAGAUGAGCCUAAGUCGUAUUAGCGAGUUGGUGGGGUAAAGGCCUACCAAGACGACGAUCUGUAGCGGGUCUGAGAGGAUGAUCCGCCACACUGGGACUGAGACUCGAGCCAGACUCCUCCGGGGGGCAGCAGUGGGGAAGAUUGGACAAUGGGCGGAAGGCUGAUCCAGCCAUGACGCGUGUGUGAGGAAGGCCUUAUGGUUGUAAAGCACUUUAAGCGAGGAGGAGGCUACUUUAGUUAAUACCUAGAGAUAGUGGACGUUACUCGCAGAAUAAGCACCGGCUAACUCUGUGCCAGCAGCCGCAGUAACAC